UAGCCAGUAAAGUCCGAGCAAAACGAAUUUUAGUUCGACCCCCCGAAACUAAGCGAGCUACUCCGAGACAGCCUAUUGCAGGGCCAACCCUUCUCUGUGGCAAAAGAGUGGGAAGAACUCCGAGUAGAGGUGACAAACCUACCGAGCUUAGUGAUAGCUGGUUGCCUGAGAAGUGGAUAGAAGUUCAGCCUCUUAGAUUAUACCCUCACACCGUCCUCAACCCUGCCGACCAAAAGAAACUAAGAGAGUUAACUAAAGGGGGUACAGCCCCUUUAAAUAAAGAUACAACUUUUCCAGAAGGUUAAAGAUCAUAAACACCAAGGACACCUGUUCUAGUGGGCUUAGAAGCAGCCACCUGUGCAAAAAGCGUUAAAGCUUAGACACCUCCUUUCUCCCAGAUCCCGAUAACACUAUCUUAACCUCUGUAUAAUACCAGGCCACCCUAUGCAUACAUAGGGGUGACCAUGCUAAUAUGAGUAAUAAGAGGGCAUGCCCCUCUCCUCGCACAAGUGUAAAUCGAAACGAACCCCCAUCGAAAAUUAACGGCCCCAAAAGAAGAGGGAAUUAGACCAACCACACGCCAACUAGAAAAACACCCAGCUAUAACCGUUAACCCCACACUGGUGUGCCCUAAGG
rnacentral:rRNA from 1 species